AGCUUGCGGCCAGAAACCUGACCUGGACUGGGAUCCGGGAAGGCUUCCUGGAGGAGGUGACAUGAGCCAAGAUCUGAAUGGUCAUCAACGCUGAGGGCACAGCUGCUGUCCUGGAGCUUCUGACUUCCGUCCCAGGGACCCCACAUGCCUUCCAGCCGGCUGCGUGCAGACACAGACCGCACCGUGGCAGCCUGUGCGAGGCCAGCAGAGAGGAGCAGGUGUGUCCAGGGAGGGGCCAGCCUGGAGCACGGUGGCUCCUCCCGGCUGAGUGUAUUUAUUUCCGCGCCUCAGACUUCAGCAUUCUUGGGCGCUCAGUGACGUGCUCCCUGCUGCUGCUUCCUGUGCCAGGCAUGUCACCCGCCAGGCCGGGGCAUCCGUGGGGAGCAGGGCCCGCUGUCCCCAGGCCACAGGUGCAGGUGGCCGUGCCCAGCCUCUGAGCACCUCCUGGGAAUGGCCACCCCACAGGCCUUGGAGAAAGCCGGCUGCACGCAUGGGCUGUCCUCAGCCUGGGCACGGGGCCUCUGUGCACUCGAGAGCCAGGCGCCCGCACCGCCUCCCCUCCGUGUCCUUCCGGAGCCUGUGACCCCCGGGCACGCAGCGCCGGCCGCAGGCCACCUUGUCCCCAAGAUGCUGCUACGAGUUCCCAGUACUGUGUGGAGGAGGUGGGGCUGUCACUUCGAAAACAGCUUAGACGUUGAAAGGAAACAAUUGGCUGUUGUUGGUAAGAGUGCGUUCCCUUUCCCCUUCUUGUCACUUUAAAGACCAAAAAGAAAAAAAGAAAGAAAAGGAAAAAUGGAAAGUUAACCUUCCUCUCUUCUUUGUUUAACAAUAAAGAGGAAUAGACAGA